rnacentral:tRNA from 2 species
AAAUAAGAAGCGAAAUAUUGCAAUCAGUUUCGACCUGAAAUCUUGGCAUUCAUGCCCUUAUUUA